rnacentral:rRNA from 1 species
CUAGGAGCCGAUGAAGGACGUGAUAAGCUGCGAUAAGCUUCGGGGAGUUGCACGUAAACUUUGAUCCGAAGAUUUCCGAAUGAGGAAACUCACUUAGAGUAAUGUCUAAGUAUCAUUAAGUGAAUACAUAGCUUAAUGAGGGGAACUCAGGGAACUGAAACAUCUAAGUACCUGAAGGAAGAGAAAGAAAUUCGAUUCCGUAAGUAGCGGCGAGCGAACGCGGAUUAGCCCAAACCAAUAAAGUUUUCUUUAUUGGGGUUGCGGACAUAUCAUAACGAAGAGGUAUCGUAAUUGAAGAGGUUUGGAAAGAUCCACCACAGAAGGUAAUAGUCCUGUAUGUUAAACGAGAAGACUUUAGAUAUGAUCCAGAGUACCACGGGACACGUGAAACCCUGUGGGAAGCAGGAGGGACCACCCUCCAAGGCUAAAUACUACCUAGUGACCGAUAGCGUAUAGUACCGUGAGGGAAAGGUGAAAAGAACCCCGGGAGGGGAGUGAAAUAGAACCUGAAACCCUGCACUUACAAGCUGUGGAAGCACAUU